AGGAGCAUUAGCAUUUCUUGCCACCUUGUUUGAUCCCACCACCACACCACUUGAUACGGUCCAUCGAUCACUCCCACCACCGGCGAGCAGCUCAGCUCAGCUCUGCUCCUCCUUGGCAUGCCCGCCGCCGCCGCCGCGUUGCCGGUCCCGGCGACCCCCGUCGCGCAGGCGCAGCAGCAACGGCGGCCCGGGAGCCGCGGCGGCGCUGCUGCCGCCGUCGUCCGCUGCUCCGCGGUGGCCCCGGCGUCCGCGGCCACGCCCGUCCUGGCCGAUCUGAGGCUGCGGUGCGCCGGCCCGCUCCCUGCGCUGCGGCGCUUGGCGGACGCCAUGGCCGUCGAGAUGCGCGCCGGGCUGGCCGCCGACGGCGCCGGCGAGCUCAAGAUGAUCCCCAGCCACGUCUACUCACUCCCCACUGGGAAUGAGACAGGAUUGUUUUAUGCCCUGGACCUUGGGGGCACCAACUUUCGAGUGCUGAGGGUACAAUUGGGAGGAAAAGAUAAGCGCAUUAUAGACACCGAGUUUGAGCAAGUCUCGAUCCCAAAUGAAAUAAUGCAUGGUACAACCGAGGAUCUGUUUGAUUUUAUCGCUAGUGGCCUGUCGAGAUUUGUUGCAACGGAGAGUGAUAAGUUUCAUUUGCCACAAGGGAGGAAGAGGGAGAUAGGCUUCACAUUCUCCUUUCCAGUGAAUCAGACUUCUAUUGAUUCUGGCAUUCUGAUCAAGUGGACAAAAGGUUUUGCUGUCUCUGGAACUGCUGGGAAAGAUGUGGUUGCUUGUCUCAAUGCUGCAAUGGAAAGAAAGGGCCUUGAUAUGCGUGUCUCUGCCUUGGUAAAUGAUACUGUGGGAGCCUUGGCUGGAGCACAUUAUUGGGAUGAUGACGUAAUGGUUGCGGUGAUUUUGGGCACUGGCACCAAUGCGUGUUACAUUCAACGAACUGAAGCUAUCCCAAAGUUGCAACACCUUGUUCUUGGAACAGGAAACACGAUUAUUAACACUGAGUGGGGAGCCUUCUCAGAUGGACUACCAUUGACUGAAUUUGACAGAGAAAUGGAUGAUGAGAGCAUAAAUCCUGGUGAACAGAUAUUUGAGAAGAUGAUUUCUGGGAUGUAUCUAGGUGAAAUUGUCCGUAGGGUGUUGGUCAAGAUGGCUGAAGUAUCUGAUCUCUUUGGCCAUUCCUUCCCCAAGAAACUUGCUGAACCAUUUGUUCUAAGGACACCUCACCUGUGUGCUAUGCAGCAAGACAAUUCUGACAAUCUUGGAGAAGUUGAGUCCAUCUUAUGUGACGUCAUCGGGGUCUCCCAAGCUUCUCUAGAGGCACGGAGAGUCGCCGUAGAGGUCGCCGACUGUAUCAUCAGAAGAGGAGGCCGGUUGGCUGGGGCCGGCAUCGUAGGAAUCCUUGAGAAGAUGGAGAAUGACUCCAAAGGGAAAAUCUUUGGACGAAGAACGGCGGUCGCCAUGGACGGCCGUCUAUAUGAGAACUACCCUCAGUACAGGAGAUACAUGAAGGAGGCUGUUGUUGAGCUACUGGGACCUGAGCUAUCGAAUCAUAUCGUGAUCGAGCACACGAAAGACGGAUCGGGGAUCGGCGCGGCAUUGUUGGCAGCUGCAAACUCAAAGUGUGUAUGACGCCCAAUUCUCUACACGGUGAUCUCACUUGGUAUAAUUGUUGAGCUACAUGGACCUGAACAAUCGAAACUGAUCUCAAUUGAUAUCAUGGUGGCCUCUUAUAUGAAGGAUAGGAACACUAGGCCCCGUUUGUUCGCGCACAUCGUAGUGAAAUCUAUCAUUGGAGAUAUUGGCGGCGACGUGUUUUGUUUGUUGGUAGAUGAGUUAGCUGAUGUUUCUGGGAAGGAAUAGAUGGCGGUGGUUUUGUGGUAUGUUGACAAGUUUGGAUUAAUAAAAGACAAACUUAUUGGUGCUGUUCAUGUGAAAGAGACAACGGCGUCAUGUCUUAAAUCUAACAUUAUAAACUAUUUGGUAAGUAUGGACGGAGUAA